GCAUUGAUGGUUCAGUGGUAGAAUUCAUGCCUUCCGUGUGAGAAACCUGGGUUCAAUUCCCGGCCAAUGCA
rnacentral:tRNA from 1 species